UCGCGGCUUAUCACCGGCAGUCCCCCUAGAGUGCCCAACCAAAUGCUGGCAACUAGGGGCGAGGGUUGCGCUCGUUGCGGGACUUAACCCAACAUCUCACGACACGAGCUGACGACAGCCAUGCAGCACCUGUGUUCCCGCCAGCCGAACUGAAGGAUCCCAUCUCUGGAACCCAUACGGGACAUGUCAAGGGCUGGUAAGGUUCUGCGCGUUGCUUCGAAUUGAACCACAUGCUCCACCGCUUGUGCAGGCCCCCGUCAAUUCCUUUGAGUUUUAACCUUGCGGCCGUACUCCCCAGGCGGAGAACUUAAUGCGUUAGCUGCGCCACCGAAACGCUAAGCGCCCCGACAGCUAGUCAUCAUCGUUUACGGCGUGGACUAC
rnacentral:misc_RNA from 1 species